rnacentral:tRNA from 1 species
GCCUGGGUGGCUCAGUCAGUUAAGCGUCUGACUUCAGCUCAGGUCAUGAACUCACGGUUUGUGAGUUUGAGCCCCACACCGGGCU